AGGGAAUCUUCCGCAAUGGACAAAAGUCUGACGGAGCAACGCCGCGUGAGUGAUGAAGGUUUUCGGAUCGUAAAGCUCUGUUGCCAGGGAAGAACGUCCGUUAGAGUAACUGCUAACGGAGUGACGGUACCUGAGAAGAAAGCCCCGGCUAACUACGUGCCAGCAGCCGCGGUAAUACGUAGGGGGCAAGCGUUGUCCGGAAUUAUUGGGCGUAAAGCGCGCGCAGGCGGCUGUUUAAGUCUGGUGGUUAAUCCUGGGGCUCAACACCGGGUCGCACUGGAAACUGGACAGCUUGAGUGCAGAAGAGGAGAGUGGAAUUCCACGUGUAGCGGUGAAAUGCGUAGAGAUGUGGAGGAACACCAGUGGCGAAGGCGACUCUCUGGGCUGUAACUGACGCUGAGGCGCGAAAGCGUGGGGAGCAAAC
rnacentral:rRNA from 1 species